rnacentral:tRNA from 1 species
CGGGCGCCGGACAGGGGGCCGCGGCCUCGGCCGCCGCCCUCCGGCAGCGGCUCGCCGCCGCCGCGCCCGCC